GGGGACCUGUCCUGUCCUGUUGUGGUUAUGCAUCUUUACAUACACACUGUAACAAAGUCUCAUGGAAUGCAUGCCGCGUUUAACGCAAUAAAAUACAACUUUCAGCAACGGAUCUCUUGGCUCUCGCAUCGAUGAAGAACGCAGCGAAAUGCGAUAAGUAAUGUGAAUUGCAGAAUUCAGUGAAUCAUCGAAUCUUUGAACGCACCUUGCGCCCUUUGGCAUUCCGAAGGGCAUGCCUGUUUGAGUAUCAUGAACACCUCAACUCUUCAUGGUUUUCCAUGAUGAGCUUGGACUUUGGGGGUCUUGCUGGCCUGCGGUCGGCUCCUCUCAAAUGAAUCAGCUUGCCAGUGUUUGGUGGGCAUCACAGGUGUGAUAACUAUCUACGCUUGUGGUUUUCCACCAGGUAACCUUCAGCAGUGGAGGUUCGCUGGAGCUCACAGAUGUCUCUCCUCAGUGAGGACAGCCCUUUGAAUGUUUGAUCUCAAAUCAGGUAGGACUACCCGCUGAACUUAAGCAUAUCAAUA
rnacentral:rRNA from 1 species